rnacentral:lncRNA from 1 species
UUACAUCGGAGACUUCAGGCCAGUUCUUCUAUUUGAUGAUUUGUUUGGAGAGGGUCAUGAGGACAUUGAUGAUGACAUCGAGGUUGAUCUUAUAGAGGGGCUACCUGAGGAUCGACAGGUUGAGGUCGCCAUGUAGUUAUCCAGGGAUGAGUAGCAUGCACGAAAGGUUGGGGCUAGUUCUAGCACUUGACAUGAUGAUGAGUCACCCUUCAUAGUAGAUUCAAUGAGAGGAUCCCAGCCUGACGAGGAUCCUAUUGAGACAGUGAG